GGAUUAGAGGCGGACGGGUGAGUAACACGUGAGCAACCUACCUUUGACAUGGGGAUAGCCUCGGGAAACCGUGAUUAAUACCCAAUAACAUCCCUUCUUCACAAGAAGAAGAGAUCAAAGAGAACUCGGUCAAAGAUGGGCUCGCGUCUGAUUAGCCAGUUGGUAGGGUAAAAGCCUACCAAAGCAACGAUCAGUAGCCGGCCUGAGAGGGUGAACGGCCACAUUGGAACUGAGAAACGGUCCAAACUCC
rnacentral:rRNA from 1 species